rnacentral:tRNA from 1 species
AGUAAGGUCAGCUAAAUAAGCUUUUGGGCCCAUACCCCAAACAUGACGGUUAGACCCCCUCCCUUGGUA